CGUGUAGGCGGUUGGGUAAGUCAGAUGUGAAAGCCUUCUGCUUAACAGAAGAAGUGCAUUUGAAACUGCUCGGCUAGAGUACGGGAGAGGAGAGUGGAAUUCCCGGUGUAGAGGUGAAAUUCGUAGAUAUCGGGAGGAACACCAGUGGCGAAGGCGGCUCUCUGGUCCGAUACUGACGCUGAGACGCGAAAGCGUGGGGAGCAAACAGGAUUAGAUACCCUGGUAGUCCACGCCGUAAACGAUGGGCACUAGGUGUAGGAGGUAUUGACCCCUUCUGUGCCGAAGCUAACGCAUUAAGUCGCCCCGCUGGGGAGUACGGCCGCAAGGCUAAAA
rnacentral:rRNA from 1 species